rnacentral:rRNA from 1 species
UACGAAGGGUGCAAGCGUUACUCGGAAUUACUGGGCGUAAAGCGUGCGUAGGUGGUUUGUUAAGUCUGAUGUGAAAGCCCUGGGCUCAACCUGGGAAUGGCAUUGGAUACUGGCAGUCUAGAGUGCGGUAGAGGAUGGUGGAAUUCCCGGUGUAGCGGUGAAAUGCGUAGAGAUCGGGAGGAACACCCGUGGCGAAGGCGGCCAUCUGGACCAGCACUGACGCUGAGGCGCGAAAGCGUGGGGAGCAAACAGG